rnacentral:rRNA from 1 species
GACGAACGCUGGCGGCGUGCUUAACACAUGCAAGUCGAACGGAAAGGCCCUGCUUUUGUGGGGUGCUCGAGUGGCGAACGGGUGAGUAACACGUGAGUAACCUGCCCUUGACUUUGGGAUAACUUCAGGAAACUGGGGCUAAUACCGGAUAGGAGCUCCUGCUGCAUGGUGGGGGUUGGAAAGUUUCGGCGGUUGGGGAUGGACUCGCGGCUUAUCAGCUUGUUGGUGGGGUAGUGGCUUACCAAGGCUGUGACGGGUAGCCGGCCUGAGAGGGUGACCGGGCACAUUGGGACUGAGAUACGGCCCAGACUGCUACGGGAGGCAGCAGUGGGGAAUAUUGCACAAUGGGCGGAAGCCUGAUGCAGAAACGCCGCGUGCGGGAUGACGGCCUUCGGGUUGUAAACCGCUUUCGCCUGUGACGAAGCGUGAGUGACGGUAAUGGGUAAAGAAGCACCGGCUAACUACGUG